rnacentral:snRNA from 1 species
GGAUGUGAGGGUGAUCUGACUGCAACACUUGUUGCCUCAGUGAUCACCAGGGUUGAUUCUACUGAUCUGGCUGGCUAGGUGAUGUCCCCUUCCCCCCCUCACUGCCCUAUGUACAUCCCUCCCGGUUCCCUGAAUAGAGGAGGACCUGUCUUUGGUCAAGGGUACAUGAGUAGUGGGCUCCCCUACUAAGCUCACAAAAUACCCUAUUUAUAGCCGGGCAUGGUGGUGCAUGCUUAUAAUCCCAGCACUCAGGAGGCAGAGGCAGGAGGAUUGCUGUGAGUU